GACGUAGGGCGCGAGCGUUGUCCGGAUUUAUUGGGCGUAAAGAACUCGUAGGCGGCUUGUUGCGUCGGCUGUGAAAACCCGCAGCUCAACUGUGGGCUUGCAGCCGAUACGGGCAGGCUUGAGUUCGGUAGGGGAGACUGGAAUUCCCGGUGUAGCGGUGAAAUGCGCAGAUAUCGGGAAGAACACCCGUGGCGAAGGCGGCACUCUGGGACGGUACUGACGCUGAGACGCGAAAGCGUGGGGAGCGAACAGG
rnacentral:rRNA from 1 species